CAGCAGCCGCGGGAAAACGUAGGUGGCAAGCGUUGUCCGGAAUUAUUGGGCGUAAAGGGCUCGCAGGCGGUUUCUUAAGUCUGAUGUGAAAGCCCCCGGCUCAACCGGGGAGGGUCAUUGGAAACUGGGAAACUUGAGUGCAGAAGAGGAGAGUGGAAUUCCGCGUGUAGCGGUGCAAUGCGUAGAGAUGUGGAGGAACACCAGUGGCGAAGGCGACUCUCUGGUCUGUAACUGACGCUGAGGAGCGAAAGCGUGGGGAGCGAACAGGAUUAGAUACCCCCGUAGUCCCUGUCUCUUAUAC
rnacentral:rRNA from 1 species